CCUACGGGAGGCAGCAGUAGGGAAUAUUGCACAAUGGGGGAAACCCUGAUGCAGCAACGCCGCGUGGAGGAUGAAGGUUUUCGGCUUGUAAACUCCUUUUGUUAGAGAAGAUAAUGACGGUAUCUAACGAAUAAGCACCGGCUAACUCCGUGCCAGCAGCCGCGGUAAUACGGAGGGUGCAAGCGUUAUCCGGAAUCACUGGGCGUAAAGAGCGCGUAGGCGGGAUAGCAAGUCAGAAGUGAAAUCCUAUGGCUUAACCAUAGAACUGCAUUUGAAACUGUUAUGCUAGAGUGUGGGAGGGGUAGGUGGAAUGCUUGGUGUAGGGGUAAAAUCCGUAGAGAUCAAGAGGAAUACUCAUUGCGAAGGCGACCUGCUAGAACAUAACUGACGCUGAUGCGCGAAAGCGUGGGGAGCAAACAGGAUUAGAUACCCGUGUAGUC
rnacentral:rRNA from 1 species